AGCGAACGCUAGCGGCGGGCCUAACACAUGCAAGUCGAGCGGAGGGGCAACCCUCAGCGGCGAACGGGUGAGUAACACGUAGGUAAUGUACCCUCUGGUGGGGAAUAACCGUGGGAAACCAUGGCUAAUACCGCAUAUGUCUUUCGAGAUGAAAGCAGCAAUGCGCCAGAGGAGCAGCCUGCGGCCGAUUAUUUAGUCCUAGUUGGUGAGGUAAUGGCUCACCAAGGGUACGAUCGGUAGCUGGUCUGAGAGGAUGAUCAGCCACACUGGAACUGAGACACGGUCCAGACUCCUACGGGAGGCAGCAGUGGGGAAUAUUGCGCAAUGGGCGAAAGCCUGACGCAGCCACGCCGCGUGAGUGAUGAAGGCCUCGGUU
rnacentral:rRNA from 1 species